AACAUUUCCAGAAUACAUUCAUCCACCCCUAUUUUCAAGGCUAUACAUUAGGCUGGUUUUCAAAGAGUGGAGAAAGAAGGGGAAAUUUUGUGAAAUUUCAAAGAGAGAUAAUUGCUUAUUACCAUAAAAACACCAAAUCAGAAAUAUUAUAAAGUGAAAACAAUAAAAGAGAGACCUAAUUAUUUACAAAAUCACACUCAACCUCACUAAAAUCACUCCAGAAACCUCACCAAACCUCACAUUAACCACAACUCUCCAAACUUCACGGUUACUCCAACCUCGGCUCAACCGAACUCAUGUCUGUCCAAGACCAUCACCUCCUCAUCAAGCCCUUGGUCCGAGCAUCAUCGAAGCAAUCUCACAAAGAAAAAGAAGUCGAAGAAUAAAAGCCCAAACACUAAUCCUCACUUCCAAAGAUGAAAGGAACAUAAGCGGAAAGCCAUUAAAACACACACUAGCUAGCAUGGUUACAUAACAUAUCAUUGUCAUCAUUCUAAACAUGUUUUGAUUGGAACUUUAAAUGUUGGACUCAGGAUACAUUAGUAGUUGUUAAAACUACUACUAAACUAGGCCCUAAUCCUUUUAAUACUGGUUUGGUGUGUUGUGAUGUUUGUACUCAAAUAACUUCACAUUGGGAUCAGAACAUGUUUGCUAACUAGGAACAAUGAAUGCUAGUAUGGGUCUAAUAAUGAAUUAAGCUAGACAAGGUGAAGAGUUAAUUAUUCUUUGUUUUUUUGGGAAAGCAAACAAUUGUAUUAAAAAAUCAAGUCAAGUUUGCCUCCUAGAUUAGUCCACUCGCAAGUAUCUGGAUUAGACGAAAACAUAUGAGCCAAAAAUUGCGCAACACUAGUUGUUGUAUCUCUUGGAGUGAACAACCAAUCUCUAACAUCACAUUUAUUCCCCAGCUCAAGAAUGUUAGUACAAGGAAAUGAUGUUUAAUUAUUCAAACUCAAACAAAGGAUUAAAAGUGAUGAAAUGGGUUUUGGAGAUCUUUUAGAAGAUCUCGUUUAAGUGAUCAUGUUUAGUUGUUGUUUAGUAGAUAAAAUGAGAUCAGAGAACUCCAAAUCGAAUGUAAACAAUCAACAAGUUCUAAACACUUAAUGAACCCUAAUUCAUUGGACUCUAGAUAUCAAACCAAACGAGACUCAAACUAGCAACCUUACCAACAAAAUCACCAUCAAAAUCAGCUACCACUACUCAGAAACAAAACUCUGAAACCGACCCAAAAUUCAGCCUAAAUCAGCCACCGUUUCACACCCAAAAUCAUCAUGAAUCACUCACAAAAUCAGCCAUUACUAUCCCAACUAAACAGCCAAUCCAGCUAGAGCAAAGAUAUCGAGGCAAAGGUUGAGAGACCAAGUAAUACCUCUGUCGAUCGAGCCAUUCACCUAGCCGAAUCUUGGAGCCUUGUCCUUCUCACCCUCCGACCCUUUAGCUCUUGAACCUAGAAGCACGAACGAGGUUAGAUAAGUCUAGGUGGAAUGUGCAUGAUGAAUAAGUUAUAAACAUCUAUUACACUUUAAUAUAUAUUGCACUCCAAAUACCAAACCGAACCAGACUUGAAUCAUCACCUAAACUUAGAAUCCCAAAUACAAGCCAUAUAACUCAAGCCACGGUCAUAAAAGAAGUAGUAUUCCUAAGAUGAAUUCAGUUUGUGUGAAAAGGGACUAAUGACUAGCAAUCGUUAUAAAAUGAACUCAAAUAUCAUAGAGUAUCAGCCUUUUACCAAAUUACACAACGACGAACAUAACAUGCCGUUAACUUCCGUUAGUCUCAAAACAAUUUUUGUAACGUGACCCGCCGGCUGCUGAGGUGGCAUCCAACUAGAAGCCACAUCAUUUAAUUCCUUUGGUCAAGUGCUAAACAAUAGUCUUCUUCAAUCCAAUCGCAUUUCCAUUCUCCAACCCCAUCCCCCGUCGUCGGCGGCGGAAACUUCACCACCGCAAUAGCCACUUUACUCCAACUUUUUUCAUGUGAAAGAUACUCAGCGAAAUCACUUUUUGCGUUUGGGAAUUUGAGGCAGAGUUCGAGCAUAUUCAUCGUCAUCUUCUUCGUUCUGGGCUUAUUCUCCACAAUAAUCUCAUAUCUGAAUCUUUCUUCGGUUGUUUGAUGGGCGAUUUGUACAAGAGUCUUCUUCCAAUAUCUUAUCUGGUAAACCCAGAUCUAUACAAUAGAUGUCGUUUCUGCUGGAUGGUGAAAUUUCCUCUAGUAUAGUUUAUCAACUUGUUAAUUGUCUCUGUGAUUGUUUCUUCAUCAUUGUUGCUGCAACUACAAAACAGAAAUUGGGUUGUUCAUUGUUAUUUAAAAGCCUAAAAAAAUUCAGUCCAACUCCAGGCAGGCGGAUCAGAUUAGAACAGCUUCCUCCUCCGCCAAACUCACAUCUGGCUAAAUAUGACAUCGUCGAGCCAUUACGCAACUGCAGACGAUGAUUCAGUGAAGGAGACGAAGAUGAAGAAAAGGUAGAGCUCAAAGCCGGUUGGUUAAAUAUCUUUCACAGUGAAGGAGAUGAAAAAAGGACGACGAAUCGGUGAAAGGACGAUCAAUCAGUGAAGGAGAGGAAGAUGAAUACAACAAUGCCAUCUUUUUUAUUUUAGUUUUUGUUUACAUUUGUUUCUUUUUUGUUUUGCUUAAAUUAAUUAUAAUAAGGUAAAAUCCACCUAGGAUGCCAAAUUAGACUAUUUUGCAUAAUCAUCUAGCAUUGUGAUGCCACCUACGCAGUUUAAAGACGGAAAUAAUAGCUUGUUAGGUUUGUCACUAUUCUCACUAAAUUUUGCAUACAUUGUGUAUAAAUUGAUAAAAAGUGGAUACUUCGGAUCAUUUUUUCCUAAAAUUGACAAGAUAAAAUACGCAAUGGUUCAUUUUAAAUCUUGGUUAAUCAUACCUUCACAAAGACCAUUUCACAUAGAUUAGAAUUUGGAGUAGUAUCAAGAAUUAAACGUUUUUCUCAGUUUGGUGUCGGAAAAGUCGAAAGUGAAAGUCAACCUGAGUUUUUGUAGUCUUGUGCUGGGUUAAACCGUGGUCAGUCCUACUUCCUCUUGGAUCUUCCGAGCAAUGGACUGAAGCUAGCCCUAGUCUUUGCCUCCCCGUCCACAGUUAUGUCCCCUAGAUCAAAACAUACAAUAGACAAGAGGUCAAAAGUAAACAAAUCCGAAAUGGCUAGGUUUAGGAGAUACGAAAUCGAACUAGUAAAAUUAAAAACGAGUUGACCUUACCUUCAUCCAGUGUUGGGAUCGAAUCGUCGAACCCUACGACGAGCUCUGUCACUAAGAACGGAAGAGGGUGGGGUUAGAACCAGUCAGAGUUAGGGGUCGAGAUAUGAGCGAGAUGAGAAGGAAAUCGAGUUUACCUUUCGCCUUAUAGGAGUCGGAUCGCCUCGAGCAGGGGGAGUGAUCGCUGAGAGGGUUACGGUUGUUGACUGUCAUCGUUAUUGUCGCUGUGCCGAUCAGAGGAGUUGAAGGAUCGGAAAGGUAAGAUUUUAGUGUCUGUGUUCGAGAGAGAGGAUGAUGAUUCGAGUCCAAGGGGGUGGGCGGUCGUUAGGCAGCAAGAGAGAGUGAGGCGUCUAGGGUUUGAGGGAGAAGAGUGGAGUUCGAGAUAAGAGAGGAGGUUACGGGUGCGACAAUAGCAAGGAAGGAGACGAAGAAGAAAAAAAACCUAGUUCUUAAGGUCAUAUUCCAAAACUCCGGUCGUGUUGGAUCUCUCGCAACUGAUCCGGGUUGUA
rnacentral:lncRNA from 1 species